rnacentral:rRNA from 1 species
CGACGGGUAGCCGGCCUGAGAGGGUGACCGGCCACACUGGGACUGAGACACGGCCCAGACUCCUACGGGAGGCAGCAGUGGGGAAUAUUGCACAAUGGGCGCAAGCCUGAUGCAGCGACGCCGCGUGAGGGAUGACGGCCUUCGGGUUGUAAACCUCUUUCAGUAGGGAAGAAGCGAAAGUGACGGUACCUGCAGAAGAAGCGCCGGCUAACUACGUGCCAGCAGCCGCGGUAAUACGUAGGGCGCAAGCGUUAUCCGGAAUUAUUGGGCGUAAAGAGCUCGUAGGCGGUUUGUCGCGUCUGCCGUGAAAGUCCGGGGCUCAACUCCGGAUCUGCGGUGGGUACGGGCAGACUAGAGUGAUGUAGGGGAGACUGGAAUUCCUGGUGUAGCGGUGAAAUGCGCAGAUAUCAGGAGGAACACCGAUGGCGAAGGCAGGUCUCUGGGCAUUAACUGACGCUGAGGAGCGAAAGCAUGGGGAGCGAACAGGAUUAGAUACCCUGGUAGUCCAUGCCGUAAACGUUGGGCACUAGGUGUGGGGGACAUUCCACGUUUUCCGCGCCGUAGCUAACGCAUUAAGUGCCCCGCCUGGGGAGUACGG